rnacentral:rRNA from 1 species
UACGAAGGGGGCUAGCGUUGUUCGGAAUUACUGGGCGUAAAGGGCGCGUAGGCGGUACUUCAAGUCAGGCGUGAAAGCCCCGGGCUCAACCUGGGGACUGCGCUUGAGACUGGAGAACUAGAGUUCGGGAGAGGAUGGUGGAAUUCCCAGUGUAGAGGUGAAAUUCGUAGAUAUUGGGAAGAACACCGAUGGCGAAGGCAGCCAUCUGGACCGACACUGACGCUGAGGCGCGAAAGCGUGGGGAGCAAACAGG